CUCGCCUGGGAACAACGAGCCCCAGCUUAAAACCCAAAGGACUUGGCGGUGCUUUAGACCCCCCUAGAGGAGCCUGUUCUAGAACCGAUUCCCCCCGUUCAACCUCACCCUCUCUUGUUUCCCCAGCCUAUAUACCGCCGUCGUCAGCUUACCCCGUGAUGGCCCAACAGUAAGCAAAAUUGGCAAAGCCCAAAACGUCAGGUCGAGGUGUAGCGUACGAGAGGGGAAGAAAUGGGCUACAUUUACUGAUUCAGUAUACACGAAUGUUGCACUGAAACAAGCAUCUGAAGGAGGAUUUAGUAGUAAGGGAGCAGUAGAGCGCCCCCCUGAAAAUGGCCCUGAAGCAAGUACACACCGCCCGUCACUCUCCCCAAAAAUCGCAACGCAUAAAUAAUACAAUUAAGCCCACCACAAAGGGGAGGCAAGUCGUAACAAGGUAAGUGUACCGGAAGGUGCACUUGGAAAAAUU
rnacentral:rRNA from 1 species